AGAAUGUAGGACACCCAGGCAGGGGCAUUUCAAUUUCUGGGCCAGUAAGGGCAACAUCGGAAGACUUAGUUCACACUAUCAACAAAGCAGAAGAAAUUGCUACUUCUCAGGAGUGACAAGCUGUCAUCAUGGGUUGGGUCAGAAUGUUCAGUCUCACAGGUCGGUCUGUUUAACAGUGGUUCCCAACCUUCUUAACGCUGCAGCCUUCGGUACAGUCCCUCAUUUUCUGGUGAUCCCAACCAUAACAUUAUUUUUGUUGGCACACACGUUUAAACCCAGCUUGGGGAGGGAGGACCAGGUGUAUCUUGAGUUCAAGAUCAGCCUAGUUUACAGAGUUCUAGGACAGCCAGGGCUACAUAGAGAAACCCUAUCUUCAAAACAAAAAUUUAAAAAUUAUUUUAGUUGCUACUUCAUAAAAUUGUAAUUCUGCUCUUGUUAUGAAUCAUAAUAUAAAUAUCUGUGUUUUCUAGUGCUCUUAGGUGACCCCUGCGAAAGGGCCAUCCAACCUCUCCAAAGCGGCUGCGUACCACGGGUUGAGAGCUACUGGUUUAGGGGGAACACCGUUGUGUUAGGGUUGUACUGCUGUGAAGAGACACCAUAACCAAGGGCCAUCAUGAAGUCUCCACCCCCAUAGAGUGGACUCUGGGAUGCUGUAGUCAGACAAAGUACCAUUUCUCCUAGCAGCUUAUCAAUUCUUGUGAUGAGGAGGAAGCCCUUCCUUAUCUUGGAUCUUGCCUUUACAUCUUUUAUAGUGCCUGGAUGCUCAACAUUGAGUGUGAUGCUCUUUGCAGUGAGGGUCUUUCUGAAUGAAAUCUGCAUCUUGGCUGUGGUUUCACUGCAGAUGGUGGGUGUAGAAGGAAAACCAGCCAGGGCCCAGGGAGUUUCAAGGUCAGAAGCCUUUAACUUUCAAGGUAUUUUAGUUGAUAAUAAAUGUUUUUAACAUUUAUUGAAACAAGAGAUUCCUAUGUUCAAGCCCGCUCUUUGCUUAUAUUCUAGGCUAGAGUAAUCUAGGUUACCUUGGGCUUCCUAGAGAAACAUUGUCUCUAAAGGUUUGCAUUUAUAGAGCACAUUGUACCAUGCAUUAUGGGGAAUGCUGCAUAGUCAGCCUAUUGAUUACUCAUAAACUGCCAGGACUAGUGAUAGUGUACACUUGUAAUCCCAGCAUUUGAGAAGCCGAGGUACGAGAAUUGCCAUGAGUUCGAGGCCAGCCUAGGAUACAUAAUGAAUACCCACCCAGCCAAGGCCUCCAGAGCAGGAUCCAUCUCAAUAAACGACAACAGUAACAACAAACAGUAAUUCUAAGAGAGGCUGUGAUCUCCAUGGAAACAGAUGCUUUUCCAUCAGCAGACGUUCCCUGUGCAGAUGACCUAGCUAAGCCAUGAACUCCUGAGGAAAACCCUGGCUGCACAUCUGGGAAUCAUCUGAGAGCUUUGAACUUGUGUCACUGCUGAGGUCCAAGCCAGUGAGCCAGCAUGUUCCAGGCCGGAGUGUUGUAGACUAUCUGUAUUUUCUUUUUCCCAAGUAAUACUGUCCGGUAGCUAAGAUCAACAUUUG
rnacentral:lncRNA from 1 species